AUUGAACGCUGGCGGCAGGCCUAACACAUGCAAGUCGAACGAGUGGCGGACGGGUGAGUCAUGUCUGGGAACCUGCCUGAUGGAGGGGGAUAACUACUGGAAACGGUAGAUAAUACCGCAUACCAUCAGCUGUGCCCAGAUGGGAUUAGCUAGUUGGUGUGGUAACGGCUCACCAAGGCGACGCUCCCUCGCUGGUCUGAGAGGAUGACCGGCAACACUGGAACUGAGACACGGUCCAGACUCCUACGGGAGGCAGCAGUGGGGAAUAUUGCACAAUGGGCGCAAGCCUGAUGCAGCCAUGCCGCGUGUAUGAAGAAGGCCUUCGGGUUGUAAAGUACUUUCAGCGGGGAGGCGGUACCCGAAGAAGAAGCACCGGCUAACUCCGUGCCAGCAGCCGCGGUAAUUG
rnacentral:rRNA from 1 species